UCUCGUCCCACAGCCGCCACCCCCGCCGUCUCAAUCUCUCGAUCCCCGACCACCGCCGCCGCCGUCCUCCGUCCUCUCCCCCAACCCCGGCCGCCGACGACCCCUCCCCUCCCCUUCUCUCCCACGACCGCGGUCAGAUCUGCGCUCCCUCCUCGCUCGUGACCUAGACCUAGCCGCAUGGCACGGCCAUGGCCAUGGCGGCGGCCAGAUCCACCCCCUCCCUUGCUCCGUUCCCUCGACGCCCGACGGUCAUUCUCCCUUAGGCUACCCGCCCCCUUCUUCCUCCCACAGCGGCUCACCCGCAGCCUUCCCCGUGGCUCUAGGGUUUUGCGGGCGGCGGCGCCUCCAUUGCCGGCACGGCUCCGGCGACUCUACAGCCUCCCCCCGACAUCUACCGCGCUGAGACAGCCGCGUCUCCGACUUGCUGCUUACCCAAUGGCUGCUGCUGGACCCGAUCCCUCCUCGUUGCCUGGAUGCUUCCUCGACUCUCCCUCCUCCCCAACAAGGCCGUCGUCGGACACCUUCUUCCCCGACAGCGCCGGCCGCAGAUCCACUCCUCCACUUUCUUCUCACGGUUAUCUGCAACAUAUAUGACUCAGAUCUGACGUUUUUGUUGUGUGUUUGGUUUUCCAGGAUGUGGGUGGUGCAGUGGCCGCAAGAACACGCUCGACAGCGUCUAGGCCGGGUCGACUAGGGCGGCUAACAGCGGUGGCUACUUCCUUACAAGGACUACAAGCUCGCCCACGACUACACGACCCUCCAGGUGGGGUUACCCAAUGUUGGCAAAUCAACUUUCUUUAACAUAGUAACAAAGGCUUGCGAUGAAGAAGAUCAAGGCUGAGAAGGACCCCAACAAGCCCACGCGCCCCCGAGUGCUUUCUUCAUCUUCAUCUGAGUCCCAGUCUUGGUUCCUGGUUCGAUUCGUGUUGCUUCUAUGGUGUGGCGUCACGUCCUGACCGAGGAUUUGGUGCGUGUUUCGUCUUUGCAGGGACAACUUCAGGAAGGAGUACAAGGAGAAGCACCCCGACGUCAAGCAGGUCUCCGUGAUUGGCAAGGCCGGUGGUGAGAAGUGGAAGUCCAUGAGUGAUGCUCAGGUGUUCCGCUCUUGCACACGUCUGGCACCGUCUCCGGCGCGGUGGUGCUUCUUGAGGCGACUGGCGUGAUGGCGGCUGUGUACGGAGGCGACCACAAGCCCUCCGGUGAGUCGGUUCCAUCUUCUAGCCCUAGCUCCUGCUUUUCUGCUCCUAUAGCAUGCUCUGUUGGUUUAGAACACUGGCAACAGUAGCCUACCAUGUAUGCUUACUAAACAGCAGGAGUUCAAUCACCUUGUGUACACUAGCAGCUUGCUUACACAGUUGUCACUUUUGCUUGUGGUAGCCAUUAUGUCGCUGAAUCAUGUCUGUGUGUACUAAUCAUCAGUUAAUAGUAUUUGGCUUCUACGUGAUGGUCUGGGACUAAUUUAUGGUGAUGUGGAUAUACUUUGUGAUUUAAAGUUACUAAUUUAUGGUCUGGUGCCAUAUUAUGGUCUAAUAUUUUUUUGUUUUGACUCUUUCUCCGGUGCGAGGAAAGCUGUGAGUAGACGUCGAUGAUGCCUACUGGCUUGGCUGCUACCGUGAUGCAUGCGCCGGUCAAGCAAGCACACAUGCAUAUACGUACAUGUUAGGAUAGUAGCAGAUAUUCCGAAAAUGCAUAGGAGCUCUCGAGUGCUACGCCCCCUAUAUUCAAAAAUAAUUUAGUAAUUCAAAAAAGUCAAAAAAUCCCGGAACUUUUACGGAAUCAAACAUGACCAGGUAUUGCACUAGUAUAAAAAGAUUUAAAUUGGAAAUCACUUUUAUUAUAUACGGGGUCAAAGAUUUUCCAAAAAAAUGCUAGAUACAAGUACUAUUCAUGCUACAUUGUCGUCAUAAAUUUGUUCUUUUUUUGCCCUGAAGUCAACGAAAAUUAUUCCUUGACCAAACAUUUUAUAUGAGUACAGUACCUAGUCAUAUUUGGUUCAAAAAUAUAUCCAAGAUUUUUUUGGCUUUUUUUUGAAUUAUUAAAUUAUUUUUGAAUAUAGGGGGGUGGAGCACCCGAGUGCUCCUAAUCCGCUUCCUAGAUAUUCCCUCUGUUCCUGCUAUAUUCCUGUGUAAAUGUAUUUCUGAGAUGAUUUUGUUGUGUUAUGUAAACCUGGGAGAUGUGUUAUGUGAUGUGAUAUGAUGGAUGAUUUGAA